AUUUAAACGAAGAAGAAUUUCCGAUGGCGACGAAGCGCGACAGCUUUUCAAAGCUCUCUAUUUUACAGAAGAGGAAAAUGCUGCAACAAAUGAAGAGGCCACCAGUCUACUACGAGCCGGAGUACGGCUCCAGGCCAGGCCCAGUCCCAGUCUGAUUAUUGAGUCGAGUUUUGGCGAUUUGACAUCAGCUACGGGUUCGAAGAUUGCAGCAAGCAACGACGUUGUGUUCGAGCAGAUCCCGUUGGUGCAGAGAGAGGUGGAACUUGAAGUGUUCAGUGAAAGCAGUGUUGUUCAAAGAGAGAAAGUACAUCCAUGUACACUACAACAUGAACCCCAUGCAAGUGAAGUUGAGAUUCAAGCAGGUGGCUACUCAACAGAAGUAGAUUUCCCUUUCAAAAAGUCGGAUUGUUACAUUUCUGAAGCCGAUAUUAACUUUAAUUCACCAGAUCAUCCCUGAGGAAGAAAACGUCAGAUGGUAUGUUUUGCUGACAUAGAGACAGAGUCUGACUCCUCUCAUUGCUCUGAAGCUGUAUCAUGUACGUGUAGAAGGAACUUCAGCAAAAAGCGAAAUGCAGCCUGUCUGGAAUUAGCGGCAAUACUGAGAAUGAAAUGCUGCAGAAGUUAUUGUCUUCAUAAGAUAUAAAGAAUAGAUGCAAGGCCCGCAGAGGAUUUCAGAACAAGACUAGCAGAUCAGAGGCUAUGGAUUUUGCAGUACCUUAUUGAACAUCACAACUUUGUAAACAUGGAUGGAGACUCAUCCUUGGGAUUACUAUGACCCGCUUAUGGAAGAUGGAGUCAGGGUUAGCAGAAGGAUUGGUGACAUCUCGUCCAUCAAAUCACCAUCGUAAAGGACUUUGUUCUUUGUCUGUGAUGAUGUCAAUGGUGUGGCUUAGUGAAUUUGUCGAUAAGUUUGGAGAGAAACUGCCAACCAACAACAAAAUCCAUCUUCUUCAUGCCUUAUACAUGGAAAUGUGUAUCGGAUUAUGAAGGAGGAAGUAGAAGAGCAAGGAGGUUCUGUUUGUAGUCAGCAAUACUUCCGCAAAUGGAGAAUGGAAAUGUCUCAUGUUACCAUUCCAAAGGUGAACCGGUUUUUGAAAUGCGACAUAUGCACCAAACUGAAAUCUUGCCUAGAGAAGACAACUGGCAGAGAAGAGAGACAAACUUUACUGCAAGAAAGAGAGUCACACCUUUUCCAGCAAAAGUAAAGGUAGGAUUUUUAAUGAAGGGCCACACACACGAGGACAUUGACCAGCUAUUCACCCGGGUUUCAAC
rnacentral:lncRNA from 1 species